GUGGAGAUGAGGUGUAUUACAGCUGGAUUACACGCGUGGAUGUGUAUUACAGGUUUACUACAAGCAUGGAGUCAUAUUACAGGUGUAUUACACGCGUGGAGGUGUAUUACAGCUGUAUUACCGCGCGGAUGUGCAUUACAGGUUUACUAAACGCAUGGAGUUGUAUUACAGCUGUAUUACACGCGUGGAUGUGUAUUAAAGGUUUGCUACACGCGUGGAGUUGUAUUGCAGCUUUAUUACACGCGUGGAUGUGUAUUACAGGUUUACUAAACGCAUGGAGUUGUAUUACAGCUGUAUUACACGCGUGGAUGUGCAUUACAGGUGUAUUACACGCGUGGAUGUGUAUUACAAGUUUACUACACGCGUGGAGGUGUAUUACAGGUGUACUACACGCGUGGAUGUGUAUUACAGGUUUACCACACGCGUGGAGUUGUAUUACAGGUGUAUUACACUCGUGGAUGAGUAUUACAGGUGUAUUACACGCGUGGAUGUAUAUUACAGCUGUAUUACACGCGUGGAGUUGUAUUACAGCGUUAUUACACGCGUGGAUGUGCAUUACAGGUGUAUUACACGCGUGGAGGUGUAUUACAGCUGUAUUACAGGUGUAUUACACUCGUGGAUGAGUAUUACAGGUGUAUUACACGCGUGGAUGUGAUUACAGGUGUAUUACAGGUGUAUUACACUCGUGGAUGAGUAUUACAGGUGUAUUACACGCGUGGAUGUGAAUUACAGGUUUACUACAAGCAUGGAGUCGUAUUACAGGUGUAUUACACGCGUGGAUGUGUAUUACAGGUGUAUUAAACGCGUGGAUGUGUAUUAAAGGUUUACCACACGCGUGGAGUUGUAUUACAGGUGUAUUACACGCGUGGAUGUAUAUUACAGCCGUAUUACACGUGUGGAGUUGUAUUACACCUUUAUUACACGCGUGGAUGUGUAUUACAGCUGUAUUACAGGUGUAUUACACUCGUGGAUGAGUAUUACAGGUGUAUUACACGCGUGGAGUUGUAUUACAGCUGUAACACACGCGUGGAUGUGUAUUACAGGUUUACUACACGCAUGGAGUUGUAUUACAGGUGUAUUACACGCGCGGAUGUGCAUUACAGGUGUAUUACAUGUGUGGAUGUGUAUUAAAGGUUUGCUACACGCGUGGAUGAGUAUUACAGGUGUAUUACACUCGUGGAUGAGUAUUACAGGUUUACAACACGCGUGGAUGUGUAUUACAGCUGUAUUACAUGCGUGGAGGUGAGGUGUAUUACAGCUGUAUUACACGCGUGGAUGUGUAUUACAGGUUUACUACAAGCAUGGAGUCAUAUUACAGGUGUAUUACACACGUCGAUGUUUAUUACAGGUGUAUUACACGCGUGGAGGUGUAUUACAGCUGUAUUACACGCGUGGAGCUAUAUUACAGGUGUAUUACACGCGUGGAUGUUUAUUACAAGUAUAUUACACGCGCGGAUGUGCAUUACAUGUGUAUUACAUGUGUGGAUGUGUAUUAAAGGUUUACCACACGCGUGGAGUGGUAUUACAGGUGUAUUACACACGUGCAGGUGUAUUAGAGGUGUAUUACACGCGUAGAUGUAUAUUACAGCUGUGUUACACGCGUGGAGUUGUAUUACACCUUUAUUACACGCGUGGAUGUGUAUUACAAGUUUACUACACGCGUGGAGGUGAAUUACAGGUGUAUUACACGUGUGGAUGUGUAUUACAGGUUUACUACACGCAUGGAGUUGUAUUACAGGUGUAUUAAAUGCGUGGAUGUGUAUUAAAGGUGUAUUACACGCGUGGAGUUGUAUUACAGCGUUAUUACACGCGUGGAUGUGCAUUACAGGUGUAUUACACGCGUGGAGGUGUAUUACAGCUGUAUUACAGGUGUAUUACACUCGUGGAUGAGUAUUACAGGUUUACUACAGCGUGGAUGUGUAUUACAGGUUUACUACACGCAUGGAGUUGUAUUACAGCUGUAUUAUACACGUCGAUGUUUAUUACAAGUAUAUUACACGCGCGGAUGUGAAUUACAGAUGUAUUACACGUGUGGAGUUGUAUUACAGGUGUAUUACAUGCGUGACCCGACACAGCGGCCGCAGGUUCCGUAGGUUCGCACCGCGCCGACGAAGAUGAGGGAAAAUCUUUCGCGGCUGGGACAUCUGAUCCGAGGCAACAACGGGCACCAGCCAGGCAUCGAUGGGCUCCAGAGAGCGCGGAGAAAAGACAUGAUGAGGCACAGAUCCACGUUUGUUCCAAGGAGCCGGGGAAGAGCGCACCAAGUACGCCUUGAGUUUCACGAGCAGACCGCUACGUUUGCCCCGGCGUCUGAAACGCUUUCGCCGUGAGGCUGGGCCAGGGUCCGACAAAGGUUAGCUGGUAUCCCAGCUAGGAAUGGAGGUAACGUCUUAUGUCCAGUAUAAGUUGUAUUGGUAAGAUCACUGGCAACUAGUCGGAGGUCCAACAGAGUUUGGCGAUUGUACAUUAAAAGAGGGUUGACUCUAGCAAUAAAAAAACCAACACAAACAAACACAGCAGGGGAAGAGACAGACGGCGAGCCACACACACUGGCGCCAUCUUGUCUAUUCAUCACGGAACCUUCAUGAAUGGACUUACCCCGGCUGGGGCGGCGGCGACGACGACGACGACGGCUGCUGCUGCUGCUGCUGCUGCUGCUCCUCCUCCUGCUCCUGCUGCUCCAUGCUCUAUCCUCCAUCCUUUGGAAGCCGAAUUUAAAGGCCGCGCUGGCCCUUGUUCUUCUUCAUCUAUCUUUUUAUGGCGGUUGGCAAACAACUUCAGGUGCAUUACUGCCACCUUCUAGACUGGAGUGUGGAUCAGAACAGCUUUUACGUCUAUACUCUCAUGUUGCUCUUAAAAACCCAAAUAUUGCCCUCAGCCAUACUGUUUGUGGCUUUUCAUUUCCUUCCCUGCUCCAAUAACAGCAAAAGGAGUGAGGCACUGAAUGAACUGUAUCAGCACGUCAGUGAGCAGCAGAUGGCCCACCUAGAUGCUUCUCUCGUGCUAGCGGGGGUUUUCAAUCGUGCAGACCCAAAGACUGUGCUUCCCAAACUGCACAAACACAUACAUUUCCCACACGGGGAAACAACAUUUUGGACUAUGUUUUCACCACCCAGAGAGGAGAUUACAAAACAUCUUGCCAAGUGGUGCAGCAACAACAACCUGUCCCUGAAUGUUGAGAAGAGUAAGGAGGUCAUCAUAGACUUCAGGAGAACUCACACCCUGCACACACGACUAACCAUCAGUAGUGCUGCUGUGGAGAGGGUAAAGCAGCACUAAGUUCCUGAGUGUGCACAUCUCAGAACAUCUGAGUGUGUUUGUAAUUGUCUGAUUCAAACAGGCUGCCGAUGUCCAGAUUGGACGAUUGAAUGGACAGCCACCUACCUCUCCUUGUCUCCUCUACAUCCAACAAAGAGCAACCUGUUUGUACUUCUGAGCAUUUGUGUGAAAAUCCUGAGCUGUGGUCUUUUUUGUAACGUGUGAGCCAUUUGUAAUUAAGAUAUGUUGAUUGAGAUAAAAGCACUUAUGUAAAUAGUUGUUGUAAGCGUUCCUUGUAAUUUCUUA
rnacentral:lncRNA from 1 species